rnacentral:rRNA from 1 species
GGUCCGCACUGGUGUGAUGGAUUCCUACCUUCUGAAUAACCAGCAUGCCAUUAAUUUGGUGCGUUGGGGAAGCAGGACUGUUACCUUGAAAAAAUUAGAGUGCUUAAAGCAGGCUAGUGCCUGAAUACAUUAGCAUGGAAUAAUGAAAUAGGACGGCAUGGUUCUAUUUUGUUGGUUUCUAGGAUCACCGUAAUGAUUAAUAGGGAUAGUUGGGGGCAUUAGUAUUCAAUUGUCAGAGGUGAAAUUCUUGGAUUUAUUGAAGACUAACUUCUGCGAAAGCAUUUGCCAAGGAUGUUUUCAUUAAUCAAGAACGAAAGUUAGGGGAUCGAAGACGAUCAGAUACCGUCGUAGUCUUAACCAUAAACUAUGCCGACUAGGGAUCGGACGAUGUUAAUUUUUUAAUGACUCGUUCGGCGCCUUACA